rnacentral:rRNA from 1 species
AUUGAACGCUGGCGGCAUGCUUUACACAUGCCAGUCGAACGGUAACAGGCCGCAAGGUGCUGACGAGUGGCGCACGGGUGCGUAAUGCAUCGGAACGUGCCCAGUCGUGGGGGAUAACUACUCGAAAGAGUAGCUAAUACCGCAUACGAUCUAUGGAUGAAAGCGGGGGACCGUAAGGCCUCGCGCGAUUGGAGCGGCCGAUGUCAGAUUAGGUAGUUGGUGGGGUAAAGGCUCACCAAGCCAACGAUCUGUAGCUGGUCUGAGAGGACGACCAGCCACACUGGAACUGAGACACGGCCCAGACUCCUACGGGAGGCAGCAGUGGGGAAUUUUGGACAAUGGGCGCAAGCCUGAUCCAGCAAUGCCGCGUGCAGGAAGAAGGCCUUCGGGUUGUAAACUGCUUUUGUACGGAACGAAACGGCUCUGGUUAAUACCCGGGGCUAAUGACGGUACCGUAAGAAUAAGCACCGGCUAACUACGUG